GACGAACGCUGGCGGCGUGGAUUAGGCAUGCAAGUCGAACGGUAGGAUACCUUCGGGUAUCUGAGAGUGGCGAACGGGUGAGUAACACGUAGGUGAUCUACCCUCAAGAUUGGGACAACCCAGGGAAACUUGGGCUAAUACCGGAUGAAAGCAGCAGUGAUGUUGUUUGAAAGGUGGCGUAAGCUGCCGUUUGGGGAUGAGCCUGCGCUCUAUUAGUUAGUUGGCGGGGUAAAGGCCCACCAAGGCGAUGAUAGAUAGGCGGCCUUAACGGGUGGUCGCCCACACUGGGAUUGAGAUACGGCCCAGACUCCUACGGGAGGCAGCAGUCGAGAAUAGUCUACAAUGGCCGAAAGGCUGAUAGUGCGACGCCGCGUGAACGAAGAAGCCCUUCGGGGUGUAAAGUUCUUUUAUAUGUGAGCAGUGCUUUCAUGUGAACAGCAUGGGGAAGAGAUAUUAGCAUAUGAAUAAGCAACGGCUAACUCCGUGCCAGCAGCCCG
rnacentral:rRNA from 1 species